ACGAACGCUGGCGGCGUGCUUAACACCUGCCAGUCGCACGGAAAGGCCCUGCUUUUGUGGGGUGCUCGAGUGGCGAACGGGUGAGUAACACGUGAGUAACCUGCCCUUGACUUUGGGAUAACUUCAGGAAACUGGGGCUAAUACCGGAUAGGAGCUCCUGCUGCAUGGUGGGGGUUGGAAAGUUUCGGCGGUGUGGGAUGGACUCGCGGCUUAUCAGCUUGUUGGUGGGGUAGUGGCUUGCCAAGGCUUUGACGGGUAGCCGGCCUGGGAGGGUGACCGGCCACAUUGGGCCUGAGAUACGGCCCAGACUCCUACGGGAGGCAGCAGUGGGGAAUAUUGCACAAUGGGCGGAAGCCUGAUGCAGCAACGCCGCGUGCGGGAUGACGGCCUGCGGGUUGUAAACCGCUUUCGCCUGUGACGAAGCGUGAGUGACGGUAAUGGGUAAAGAAGCACCGGCUAACUACGUG
rnacentral:rRNA from 1 species